ACGCUGUGUUCCCCUUAAAUUCUGAUGGAUAUUAUAAUUAAUAAUUAUAAUUAUUAUAAUUAAUUAUAAAUUAUUAUAUAAUUAUAAAAAUUAUUAUAUUAAAAGGAAAUUCCCUGUUUCCACAGACCAAUUUCAGUUCAAAAUUAUAAAGAGGCUGAGCAGCUAGUAGUCUGAUGCAGUCACAACAACAUGGAGCUGAACACGCUCAAGACAGUGGAGAUGACAGAGGACGCCCAGGAAGAACUAUCUCUCAUGACCAGGGCCCUGUUUCAUAAAACUGUUUUGGACGAGUCUUACUAGUUAGUCAUCUAAAAUGUUGGUCUUUAUUUUUUCAGUUAGUUGUAUAAAAACUUAUAUUGGUCUAAUUUAAGACCAACAUGUAAGACAGCACACCCAUAGGCUAACCUUUGUUUACAUUCCAUGUUGCCAUGGAGAAUAACUGUCAGCUGAGCCAGUGGGGGCUUCAGUUGAGACUUUGUAGAAGACUUUAACUUCUAUCAUGUGAGUACUUAAAAAUGAGAAGAAUGUGCCAUGGGAAAAUGGAGUGGGUAGACAUAAAAUGGAAAGGAGGAGUUCUGACCCAUCAAAUCAAGCGGGAUGGCAGUAGCUGUGGGGUCACUUUCAUCAUGAUGGCAAGGGCAGUGAUGAAGGCCUUUCCAGCUGUUCCACUCAUCAGGUUUGGGACAUCCAAAAAGGAAAUGGCACAUGCAAGAAAAACAAUGGCUCUCCAGAUACUGAAAGCAUCAGCCACUAGGCCCUAUAGCACCUUCAUCUGGGGCCAGAUCCUUUCCUGGUUCAGUUGGUCCGAUACAGCAUCCCAUAGCCCAGGCGGUGCAUCACAUGCGGCUUCAUUUCCAUGCCCCUGUCGCCCAGGUCUUUCACACAAGACCUCCACAGUCCUCUGCCUGUAAAUUUUGUUUGAUAUGCCAGAAUCCUGUAGAUGCUGGAAGCCAGUACAACACAUCUGUUCCCAUAUGAUGCAUAAAGAUUGUGUCAGUGUUUGGCUGAAUACCAGCAAGAAUAACUCCUGUCCUUUCUGCCCAUCCAAAUGAGGACUGACUUAGCCAGAAAACAAUCAGACUGAUACUUGAGCCAAUACCUGCAGACAGUGAAGUAGGAUUGAUCAAAUUAAAGGAAUUGUUCACCCAAAAAUGAGAACUCUGUCUUUACCCUUAUGUAGUUCCAAACCCAUAUGACUUUUUUUUUCUGCAGAACACACAAGGAUAUUUUUCAAAUGUUUGAAUGCCACGAUUGCUGAUUUCCAUUCAAUUAUAGUUGCAUGCAUGCGUCAUAUUUGACGUCUUCUGAAGGCAUACAAUCACUUAUUAUAAAUGGGAGUGAAAUACGUAAUUCACCCAUAAAUCAAAUCAUCGAUCAACUUGUGUAUACAAAGGCCAUAUUUGAUCUUUGAUUUCUAAUUUGUAUACUUGAGUUCAUCAAUGAUUUGAUUUAGGGGUGAAUAACAACAUACAUUUCAGUCCAUUCAUCUUACAAAGUGAUUGUAUGCCUUUAAAAGAAUUAGAAUAUGACACACAAGCUGCAUUGACUACUUUUAUGACACUUUGGGGGUGCUUCUUUUUUUGUUGCUUUAAAGUGAGUUACUAUCAGCUGCUAUUGUAUAGAAAUCAGCAAUGUUGACAUUCUUUGAAAUAUAUAAUUUUGUUUCACAGAAGAAAGAAAGCCGUAUGACUUUGGAAUGACAUGAGGGUGAAUAAAUAAUUUAAGUAAUUUAAAUUUUUGAGUAAACUUUGGGUGAGCUAAGAUUUUGUAAUUCUGUAAUUUCAAUCUGUUUUUUGACAAGAAUAAAUUGUUUCUGGCCAGUUAA